AAAAAUAAAAAAAUUCCGAGUUCAGUAAGUGAAGGCGAAGGGGCGCCGCGCCACGCCGAACGCCGGCGACUUGGCCGUUGCCGUACGCGCGGGAGUCGCCCGCCAUCCAGAGCCGUGAGGCGGAGGACUACCGGCGGGAACUCUGGCGGGAGGCUACCCGGCCCGAGCCAACUGGUCGGCGCGUGGCGCCUUUGCCUCAUGGGGACAGCGAUCAAGCGCAGCGCCGAAUUACCAACGCGGCCAAGUUAUCUAGGUUCGCAAGCUGUGAUGGGUCUGGCUGAAAAAUGGAUCAUACACUGCUAAGUCAAACGAUGUUAACAUCACAGUGCAUGGUGCUGCGUCUAUAGAAUGCCCCCUCCUUGCGGCACAUAGAAGUGGCUUCCUUCGUCCCUUGUUUUACGUUGUAAGUUGGAGUAACUAGCUUUCUGUACAUACAAGAAAAGGCUGCACAUAACUUAUACAUGACAGCUGAAACAUCUUUUGUUUUGGCACUUCCACACUCUUAUCUUGAAAGAUAAUGGGAAAAAAGACCGAUCUUGAUUUUUUAAUCAAAUUUCCAGCUUCCAUUAUUUUCAGAAAGAGGAGAAACAUUGAGACCACAAAGGCAGAUUGACAAAACUGAAAGCAUCAUCAGAGUAAGCACAUGAGAUUUGGGGGAAUAUGUGCCAAAGUAUGGGCUGAAGCCGGACCAUAGAAUAGGUAUCUUUCCUGUCGGCAGCAAGGACCUUGGAAGAGAGAACUGCAUUUGUUCUCUGGUCCUCAACCUUUGGUCUUUGAAUCUCCAGAAAUUAUGUAGGCCAAUCAAUGUUUGUUCUAUAGGUCGACCCUCUUGUUAGUUAUUACUUUACAUUUUGUAGGUGGUUCAAUGUUUAUUUUGAAGCAUGUCCCCUUUAGCCACAUAUGAUGAGUGUGCCUUGGACACUGACACGGUGUAAACACAAUUUUAGCCACCACUUUCUAUUUUAAUAUAUUUGCAGCAUAUAAUAAAACUAGAGUAUUAUUAUACCUUUUUUUUUUGAAAUCUUAUCAUUUUCCAUUAGAUGAUCGAAAUAUUCAUGGAGAUACCGUUGGUCAGAAGUAAA